CGCCUGUUCCCUUCGUCGCCGCGGCUCUCGUCCGGGACACGGCUUUCCGGAGUAGAGCCCUUGGAGGUGUUAAGUGUGAUGCUUCCAUAAUACAUUUGGAUGCUGUCAGCUAAGUUCACUUCUGAACUAAGGGGUUCCUCCAAAUGUUGGCUGAAAUUCAUCCCAAGGCUGGUCUGCAAAGUCUGCAAUUCAUAAUGGAGCUACUGUACUGGCUAUUGGAAGGAGGAGAUUCUGAAGAUAAGGAGGUAAAACCUGUUUAGAAAUUAAAAAUGAGUUACGAUUUAAAGAAAAUUCAGAUGACUCAUUGUGAGUGCUAGUUCUCUUGUAGGAUGCCACUGGAAAUGUUGAAAUGAAAAAUAUUCAGCCGUUGGUCUUUGAAAUUUCCUGUGAUGUGUUUCAAUCUAGAUGCAAAGAACAUGGAAAAAUCAAAGUGCUCGAGUGGUUUAAAUAUGUUUUGGGUAUUCCUGUUUAUAGACUAUAAUACUUUUCCAAUUAAAAUCCUCAGUUGUCACGCAGAAGAAGGUUAAGCUGUAUUUGAUUGCCAGUUUUACUGAAAAUGCUUAGUAUUUUACAGUAUCACCAAAUAUAUUUUGUUUAGCCAAGGUAUAGGAAAAAUAAAAUAAAUUGUAUAGGUUGACUUUUUUCUAAAAUGUCUUUAUUGGAUUGAAUGAAUGUUUAUACCUGAAAAAAAAAGGUUCAAAAAAAUUCCUUUUUCUAUCAGAGUCAUUCUUUUGACAAUCAGAUAUUAGACUAGGUUUAAAAUAACUUUCUAAUAUGACUCAUAUUUAUGGGAGGAAAAAGACUUGAAAGAUAUUCCUAUGUGUACUUUAAUUUUCUGUAAUAGUCCCUCUGGAAUAGAAUAUCUCUUCCUCAAACAAAUCUAUUGGCUCAUUUCAUAUACAAGAAAAAGUUGCCCUAAAUGGCAGAGUUUCAUCUCUGUAAAGAAGGCUGACAUCCACUUCCUUCACAGAAUCCCUGCAUUUGGGUAAUUGAGUAAUGAUAGAUUACCUUGCCAUUGGGAAAUACCUUGUUGUGGCCUUUGUAGCAGCUAUAGGAAGAUGGAAGAAUUCUUUUGUAUAGACAGGUCUCUAGCCUCUUUGGUGUGGACACUGUGAAGGGGUACAUCUGGUGAGAAGGAGUGCUUAGGGAAGGAACUGGGAAGGUCCACAAAGGCUGAUGAUGACAAAGAAUCCAAGGGCUAUGAUGAAUUCUUAAGCUUAGAUCUCAGAGUCAUAAAGUAAAUUUAUUAGGCUAGAGAGAUUUCCUUUUUUAUUUUUGAUCAAACUUUAUUUUUUCAGAUUGUUAAGUUCACAUGCAGUUGUACAAAAUAAUACAGAGAUCUUUGAACACUACCCAGUUUCUCCUAAUAGUAACUUCUUGCAAUAUACUGUAUAGCACAGCAUCACAACCUGGAUACUGACAUUGAUGCAGUCAAGACAGAGAACAUUUAUAUCAUGAGGAGGAUCCCUCAUUACCGCCCUUUGAUAUCCACCCCUACUUCCAGACCAUCUCACUCCUCCCUUAACCCUGGCAACCACUAGCAUGUUCUCCAUUUCUAUAAAUUUGCCUUUAUAGGAAUGUUAUAUAAUUGCAAUUAAAGUGUGUAACCUUUUGGGGUUUGACUCACCCGGCAUCAUUUUCUGGAGAUUCAGCUUAUAUGUGUCAAUAGUUUGUUCCCUUUUUUUUAGUUCAGUAGUAUUCUGUGGUACGUGUGUACCACAUCACUCAUCAAUUCGGACUUCUGGGUUGUAUCUGGUAUUUGAUUAUUACAAAUAGAAGUACUAUAUAUAUAUUCGUGUAGAGGUUUCUGUGUGAACAUAAACUUUCAUUUUCCUGGGACAGAUGCCCACGAGUGAAAAUUGUGAGUCAUAUGGUAAUUAUGUAGAGUAUUUUUUUUUUGAGACGAUUUGUUUAUGAUUUUAAAACAUAAAAAUAUAAGUUGUAGCCAAAUAUAAGGAAGGAUUUUUCCACAAUCUAGACUUUAUUCUUAUUUUAGAGAAAUACUUUUGAAAAAAUUGCUUUAUUGGCAAACAAUUCCUAUGUAAAGGAAUAAAAGACGCAUAUACUCUAGGAAAGAUGUUGCAAAGCUGACAGGCAACUUUGAGAAAGAUGAGGGCAGUUUUCCAGUGUUACUGGAGACUUGACAUUCAAGGAUGUAUUAUGAUAGUUUCUGAAUUGAUAGAUUCUUUAGCGUUUGUCACUACCCUCAGGCCUGCAGUUUUUAUUUGUAGAAUUAACUCAUCUUUACAAUGCUUUGUUGAGUGCUGUUGCAGAAAAUGCUCAUGUAAUUCAAUUAUAUGCAGUUAGGAAAAAGAAGUAUCUUUUUCUAGUACAUGGCCCCUAAAAUGAUGACUUUCCACAAUGCUGAAUGGAGGAAACAGCUCUGUUUCCAUCAAACUCUGGUGGAAAUUAUACAAAGUUAUAUUAUGCUUUAUGAGACAUAGUGAGGUAGUACACAACCAUAUAUGCUAUAUUAUUGGGGAGACCCACUGAAAGAAUUUUCAAGGAUAAUUUUUGCUCUGAUUUUCUAUCAUGUAUAUUGACUUUAUUGAUUGAUUGAUUGAGAUGGAGUCUCACCCCGUCACCCAGGCUGAAGUGCAGUGGUGCAAUCUCUGCUCACUGCAACCUCCGCCUCUCAGGUUCAAGUGAUCCUCGUGCCUCAGCCUCCCGAGUAGCUGAGACUAUAGGUGUGUGCUACGAUGCCCAGCUAAUUUUUGUAUUUUUAGUAGAGACAGGAUUUGGUAGCCUGGUCUCGAACUCCUGACCUCAGGUGAUCUACCCACCUUGGCCUCCCAAAAUACUGGGAUUACAGGUGUGAGCCACCGUGCUGGCCAAGUAUAUUGACUUUAAAACGUUACCGGCUGGGCGUGGUGGUUCACGCCUGUUAUCCCAGCACUUUGGGAGCCCGAGGCGGAUGGAUUACCUGAAGUCAGGAGUUCGAGACCAGCCCAACCUGGUGAAACCCCGUCUCUACUAAAAAUACACAAAUUAGCCGGGCGUGGUGGCAGGCGCCUAUAAUCCCAACUACUGGGAAGGCUGAGGCAGGAGAAUUGCUUGAACCUGGCAGGCGGAGGCUGCAGUGAGCCAAGACUGCGCCACUGCACUCCAGCCUGGGCAACAAGAGCAAAACUCAGUCUCAAAAAAAACAGAAAAAAAAAGUUACCACGGGUGAAACAUUGGGCUGGUCACAGUGAUCCUUCUAACAGCAGUCAAUAUUAUAAAUCUAGCUUUUUUUUUUGAGUGAGAUACUAGGCCCAGGGAACCCGAGUCUUUCAAUCCUCAUGAAUAUAGUUUAAUCUUUAGCUCAUUAUGGUCAUGACCAUAGUUAAAUAAAUGACACGAGAUAAUAAAAUAGUCUUUGCCCUUAAAACUGACCUGGGUAAAAGGAUGUACACUUGAAUCUUUGAAUACCAGAAUAGUCAUUCAUUCAUUGAGCCGUGUUGUAGCAUCCCAUCUUCUGGCACUUCCAGCACUGGGAACCCAUCAUAAAGAAGGCACUACAGGCCAGGCGCUGUGGCUCACGCCUGUAAUCCCAGCACUUUGGGAGGCCAAGGCAGGCGGAUCACCUGAGGUCAGGAGUUCGAGACCAGCCUGGCCAACAUGGUGAAACCCCAUCUCUACUAAAAAUACAAAAAGUAACUGGGCAUGGUGGCAGGCGCCUGUAAUCCCAGCUACUUGGGAGGGUAAGGCCAGAGCAUCGCUUGAACCCGGAAGGCAGAGGUUGCAGUGAGCCAAGAUCCUGCCAUUGCACUCCAGCCUGGGGGAUAAGAGCGAGACUUCGUCUAAAAAAAAUAAAAAUAAAAAGGCACUACAGCACCUGUUCUCUUAGUGUAGCUCUAUUAGCUCUUAGACUAGGGGGUAGGGAUGGGAAAAAGUAAAAAGAAACUGAGAAACCAAUCUAAUUACGCAUAAUCAGAAAUCCAAAGCUUCCAGAAUUCAUGAGGAAAAAGAACUGCAGCUGAUGGAGUAGGCAUUACAGAGAAUGAGAGGCUUGCUUUUUUUUUAAGUUUCAUUUUAUUUGUAAUUGACACAAUAGCACAUAUUUACGGGAUACAGUGUGACAUUUUAAUACAUUUACAUAUUGUGUAAUGAUCAAAUUAGGAUAAUUAGCUUAUGUAUCACUUCAAAAACAUAAUUUCUUUGUGAUGAGAACAUUCAAAAUCUUCUAGUAUUUUGAAAUACAUAAUGCAAUAUUGUUAACCACAAUCACCCUACUGUGCAAUAGAACACCAGAGUUUACUCCUCUUUUCCAUCUGUAGCUUCAGACCCAUUGACCAAUCUCUCCCCUUCGCCCCCCACCACCCCCCCCCCCGCCGUCACCACUCUCCUCCCCUCCCCAGCAAGAGGCUUGAAUCUUGAAGGAGCACAUCAGAUAGAAAGAGGGAAAUCAACUGGGACAUGGUUUGUUGGAAGUGGGGUGGAAUCUGGUUUGUUUACAGUUUCAGAGUUUGAGGCAUCAAAAGUGUAUGUCAUUGCCCAAAAGUAUUUAACAGCUUUCUAUGUUUUAGGAAUUCACUAGAAAUAAGGCAUGCUUUUUAAAAAAGAAAAAAAAUAGUAAUCUUUGAAUUUAAAUAUGUGGGUUUCCAUGAAAAACAAAUGAGUACCCUUCCUUGAAAAACUACUACUUUGAAGAGUCUCGUAGGUUCUGAGGCUCGUGUGUGUGUGUGGGUGUGUGUGUAUAAAACAUUUUCUUUUAUAUUUGGUAAGAAGGAAUAAGGUAUUUUAUACUUUUCUGGUCUGUUAAAUGCAUAAUCUAUAAGACUAUAAUACUUUAAAAAAUUUUAGUUUAUCUGAGGCUUAAAAUAACAAAAGAACUUAAAGCUCCUGUGGAAGAGCUCCAAAAUUAAAACUGUAAGAUCACAUAUAGAUAAAACGUUAUAUAAAGCAGGCUUUGGGACCCCAGGCAUGAUGGCUCAUUCCUGUAAUCCCAGCACUUUGGGAGGCCAAGGUGGGUGGAUCACCUGAACCCAAAAGUUCGAGACCAGCCUGAGCAACAUGGUGAAACCCUGUCUCUACAAAAUACAGAAAAAAAAAAUAUUAACCAAUUUUUUUAACCUCCCAGCUACUUGGGAGGCUGAGAUGGGAGGAUGGCUUGAGCCUGGGGAGGUCGCGGCUGCAAUGAGUCAUGAUCGCGCCACUGCACUCCAGCCUGGGUAAUAGAUUGAAACUCUGUCUCCACACACACACACACAAAUGACUUUUGGUAAGACUGUACAUAGAGUUUAUGGCCUUAUUAAGAAACUCUUUUGAGCAACCUAAGAAAACACAAGUAUUUCUGUACAUUACUUUGUUAAAGUGUACAGGAUAAUAAGAGAGAGCUAAGAGCCUUUUCUAAAUGUGCAUCCAAUUUUAAGAGGCUAAAAUAGGAAGCUUUCAUAUAGCCAAGGCCCCAUUAACUUGGGAAUCUGGAAAACAGAAGACGUAAGUUUCUAUCAGAGUUUCUUUAAAUUUAUGUAAAUCAUAAAUUUGAGCAAGGCAGUUAUAAAAGACAUUAAAAUUAAGAUACUCAGGAUUUUAUAUGUAAUAAUAUUGAUUCCAAUAUCUUCAACACUAUGGCAUUGCCAAUGAGGAGACCAAAAUGAAUUGUAUUUUAUGAAAGGGCUAUAUUAGACCAGUGACUUAAAAGUUCCAAGUACAUAUAAUGACAAAGCGUUGUGGAAUCAUCUUGUACUACUGUUUAUGUAGUAGUUUAAAAAAAAAAAGAAAAAGAAAAUGGUGCAAUUUUAGACAGUUUAAAAAAAUUUUACAAAUACUGCAAAUCAUAGGUUGGUUACCACUAGACUUCCUGACUGCAGUGGUUGCUGUAUUCACUGUACAUUCUUUUAAAACACCAGGCACUUUAUAAUUUUGUCUAUAAUUGUUUAUAUAUUUUUUCUUCACAACAUGUUUUAGAAUAACUUAUUGCUAAGUUACUUCAACGUAUGUGCCAUCUUUAAACUUUAUAUAUGAGUAUACUAAAGUGUCAUUUGCAAGACACAUCUAUGCACUAUUUUUUUUUUCAGGAGCCUCUUUAUUCAAAAUACUUUUAAAUGCAGUGCAUAAAAAUAGCAGGCCACUUCCACUUGCAGGCUUUUGAAGCUGGAGAAGACUUGUUUUUCACAUGAGGAAACUGAGUCCCAGCAAGGUGAAAUGACUUGCUAGUAAGUGAUACGAUUAAACUUAUUUUUUGACUCCAAAGCACAUUCUGCCAACUUGAAGAUGCUUGUCCCAACUUCUGGAAAUUCACCCUAUCAACGUCUGUAUCACAACCCCAUUCUUAAUAAUAGUUUCUUCACAUUAGAAAUAAAUGUCAGAAAUAAAUGUCUACUUGUCAUUUGUACAUGUCAUGCAAACAUCUUGGCACCAGAUAUGGGUACAAGUAGAAAGCAUCAGCGUGUUCAUCUAAGAACUGGAUUUUAUCCAAUGGAAUGUUCUGUUUAUUCAUUGCUAUUCAUGCAUACCUGCUGUGUUUUAACGUUGUGAUAAAUCCAGAGAAUCAAAUAUGAAUAAAAAUACUCCCUGAAUUCAACAAAGUAGGCAUUGGCUCUGGCCAGGGGACAAAAUGUUAAAUGGCAUGCAGUCUUCACCCUGGCACAACUUGAAGCUUAUCACCUAUUGUAGAGAUGAAGCCAUAAACAGAUCAUUUCAGCACAGCAUGAUAAGGGGGAGCUCCAGGGAUCAUGGUAGUACAUGGGCCCAGUCCCUAAUUAAAUCUGGUGGAGUGUGGGCAAAGUUAAGGAAGGCUUCCUAGAGGAGAGGGCAUUGGGGUUGAUCCCUGGCAGGAACAGGGCUCCAGGCAAGGGGAACAAAGACCAGU
rnacentral:lncRNA from 1 species